UACGUAGGGGGCAAGCGUUAUCCGGAUUUACUGGGUGUAAAGGGAGCGCAGGCGGUCUGGCAAGUCUGAUGUGAAAGGCCGGGGCUCAACUCCGGGACUGCAUUGGAAACUGUCAGACUGGAGUGUCGGAGAGGUAAGCGGAAUUCCUAGUGUAGCGGUGAAAUGCGUAGAUAUUAGGAGGAACACCAGCGGCGAAGGCGGCUUACUGGACGAUGACUGACGCUGAGGCUCGAAAGCGUGGGGAGCAAACAGG
rnacentral:rRNA from 1 species